UUUUUUUUUAUUAUUUAUUAUUAAAUGAUAGAAUCAAGCUGAAAAAUAAAUUGUCAUCUUGAAGAUCAACGACUGAAAAAUAUCUGGACAUCUUUUUCCGUCAAUUGCCAAGAUUUUAGAUGUUAAUUACUCACUAUCGGACUAAAUACAUAUUGAGAUAAUUUAUUCACGGUCAGUGGAAUUAAUCGAAAAACAGAUACAGGAUACCGAGCCGUAAAUAAUAUAAAUAAACUGAUAUUUUACAGAAUUACGAUGCCAAUACUUUCAUAUUAAAAUAAAAAUAGCCAAUAGUAUCGCUAAUGCCAUAAAAAAAGUAUAUAAAUAUAUAUAUAAAUAAAUAUCUACCAUUAGAGUAUUUUUUCCCAAACAAUAGGUAUAACAAUUACAACUAUAAAGAUAAAUGAAUAAUUGUAAUAAUGAAAAAAUAAUGAAGUAUAAUCAAACUAAAUGACAAACUAGUCAAUUUAAAACUGAUACUCAAAAGUAUUAAUCAUUUAUUUUUUCAUUAAUUCUACAUAAUUUUUAAAAAUUGAAGUUAUGUAUUAUUUUUUAAUUUACGAGUUACCAUUUAAAUAAAUUGUUAUUUUGAUUUUUUAAAAAAGUUAGAUUUUAUAUUGCAACCAAUGCAAUUGUUUAAGGAAAAUUAAAUGAUGUAAUGUGUAAAUUUAUCUUAACUACACGGUGGAAUUAUUCUCGGUGGAAAUUCUAUGGUGUCGUAAAGCCGUACCAUGCUGGCCACCUGAUGGAAAUUCAAAUAAACCCAUAGAAAAAUUACUGUAACCAUUGAAAAGUUUACGGUAGCCACAGUAAUUUUUCUAAGGGUUUAUUUAAAUUUUUUGUAAGGUAGCCAACGUGGUCCGACUUUACUAUAACACCAUAACAUUUUAAACAAGAAUAAUAUUCCGUGUAAAAACAUGUAAACCAGAAGACUGAAGAUACUAUUAUAAUGCUUGCAAGUUGUAAUAUAGAUUAGAUGUCAAGAAAAAAAAAUUAUCUAGUAAAAAUUUUCGAGUACUGCGUAACGAUUAUGACUGAAAUUAUUUUUAUUUAUUAUUGUUAUUGUAAUUAUUACUUUAGCCUAAAUUGUCAGUAAAAGAUCUCUAAACUUUUGUGAUUUGAGGUCAUUCCUAGAUGAUGUUUCCACUUUUUCUAUUAAUAAAAUUAUUCGUGUCAUAAAAAAAAAGUUGAAGAACUUGUUAAAAAACAGUGUGGUUUAAAUUUUGAUAGAAUAGAUUUUUAAAAAAGUAAUUGUGUUGAAUUAUUUUUAACGAAAUUUGUUGAAUAAAUUCGAGCCUAGAAAUUUUAAAUUGCACUUUUGCCCUGAAAAUUUUGAUGCGAUUAAUAAAUAUAUCGAAUGAUAUUUAAUAGAAAAAAUUAGAAGCAACAUCUAAGAAUGUCCUUAAAAAAAAACAUUCAUAAAAUAAAAUUUUCAUUCUUUUACUUGAUACCUGAUCUGGGAACUGUGAUUCGACAGUUUUGCACUUAAUCUAUCUAUAAAUAUGUGCCUACAAAAGGUAUUACAAAAAGCCACAUGGCGAUUGCCAAAAAAAGUAAAAAAUAAAAAUAAAAAAACUUAACAACAAAAAUAGUUGAACACUUUAACGAAUUUAAAAAAGUUUACGAAUUAAAUGAUUAUCUAUUUUUAUUUAUAAUAGACUAGUUGUAUAUUUUUUCAGCUUGUUUAUUUAUUGUAAGCCCACCGACUCUUCUUAUAUAUUUUUUUUUACUUAACUAAUUUUUUUCUUAUUAGUUUAUAUUUUUUAAUUUUUUUUUUUUUUAUUAUAAAAGUCUGAUAGACGUAAGAUCAAAGUAUUAAGAGUGUGAUGUGUGUAUAGUAUGUAUGUAAUUAAUUAAUUAAUUGAUUAGUUGAUAAGAUUUUUUGUUUAAUUUAUUAAUUAAAGAAGCCUUGAACGGCAAAUCAGGACAUGA